GCAUUACCACCGACCAGUCCUCAGCCGGCAACAUGAAGCUGGGUGGCCUCUGCCUCCUGCUCCUCCUCGCCGUCCUUCUCACCCUCAAUGCAGAGUUCCAAGCAGUUGAUGUAGGUAUCUGUGUGACGGAGUGCAAGGUAGACCAGGACUGUGGGGCAGGAAGACGAUGCACCAGCAAUGGAUGUGGCCGGGUCUGCUCCCCAGUCCGGCGAAGAGAGGCCUGCGAGCACCAGUGCAGAGAAGACAGGGACUGUGGGAGUGGACAUCCGUGCGUGAGGAAGGGCUGUGGGCACGUCUGCGCCCCCGUCCAUCAAGUCGGUAUCUGUGUGACGGAGUGCCGUGUAGACCAGGACUGUGGGGCAGGAAGACGAUGCACCAGCAAUGGAUGUGGCCGGGUCUGCUCCCCAAUCCAGCGAAGAGAGGCCUGCGAGCACCAGUGCAGAGAAGACAGGGACUGUGGGAGUGGACAUCAGUGCGUGAGGAAGGGCUGUGGGCACGUCUGCGCCCCCGUCCAUCAAGUCGAUAUAGGUAUCUGUGUGACGGAGUGCAACGUAGACCAGGACUGUGGGGAAGGAAGACAAUGCACCAGCAAUGGGUGUGGCCGUGUCUGCUCCCCAGUCCAGCAAGAAGAGGCCUGCGAGCACCAGUGCAGAGAAGACAGGGACUGUGGGAGUGGACAUCAGUGCGUGAGGAAGGGCUGUGGGCACGUCUGCGCCCCCGUCCAUCAAGUCGGUAUCUGUGUGACGGAGUGCAAGGUAGACCAGGACUGUGGGGAAGGAAGACGAUGCACCAGCAAUGGGUGUGGCCGUGUCUGCUCCCCAGUCCAGCAAAAAGAUGUAGGUAUCUGUGUGACGGAGUGCAAGGUAGACCAGGACUGUGGGGAAGGAAGACGAUGCACCAGCAAUGGAUGUGGCCGUGUCUGCUCCCCAGCCCAGCAAAGAGAGGCCUGCGAGCACCAAUGCAGAGAAGACAAGGACUGUGGGAGUGGACAUCAGUGCGUGAGGAAGGGCUGUGGGCACGUCUGCUCCCCCAUCCCUCAAGUAGGUAUCUGUGUGACGGAGUGCAAUGUAGACCAGGACUGUGGGGCAGGAAGACGAUGCACCAGCAAUGGAUGUGGCCGUGUCUGCUCCCC
rnacentral:lncRNA from 1 species